rnacentral:rRNA from 1 species
GACGAACGCUGGCGGCGUGCUUAACACAUGCAAGUCGAACGAAGAGCGAUGGAAGCUUGCUUCUAUCAAUCUUAGUGGCGCACGGGUGAGUAACGCGUAAUCAACCUGCCCUUCAGAGGGGGACAACAGUUGGAAACGACUGCUAAUACCGCAUACGAUCUAAUCUCGGCAUCGAGGAUAGAUGAAAGGUGGCCUCUACAUGUAAGCUAUCACUGAAGGAGGGGAUUGCGUCUGAUUAGCUAGUUGGAGGGGUAACGGCCCACCAAGGCGAUGAUCAGUAGCCGGUCUGAGAGGAUGAACGGCCACAUUGGGACUGAGACACGGCCCAGACUCCUACGGGGGGCAGCAGUGGGGAAUCUUCCGCAAUGGACGAAAGUCUGACGGAGCAACGCCGCGUGAGUGAUGACGGCCUUCGGGUUGUAAAGCUCUGUUAAUCGGGACGAAAGGCCUUCUUGCGAAUAGUGAGAAGGAUUGACGGUACCGGAAUAGAAAGCCACGGCUAACUACGUG